rnacentral:lncRNA from 1 species
UUUUUUUAGUAACAAGAGAUAAAAAGAUAGACCUUCAGAAAAAACAGACUCAAAGAAAUGUGUUCAGAUGUAAUGUAAUUGGAAUGAAAAGCUGUGGGAAAAGUGGAAUUCUUCAGGCUCUUCUUGGAAGAAACUUAAUGGUGAGAGUUCUCAAAAUAUAGAAUUAUAUCCAACAAAUUUCUGUAGUUUAUGUAAUUUUUAUAGCCAUUAUUAACCUUUUUAGAUGAUUACUAGAGCUCAUUGCCCUAUAUAUAUUAGUAAAGUGUUUCAUUGGUGUUAGCCGUGUGUGUGUGUGUGUGUUUGUUUAUUUAUUUAUUUAUUUAUUUGGUAGUACUGGAGAUUGAACCCAGAAAGCAUGCUCUACCUUUGAGCUGCAUCCUCAACCCUUCUAUUUUUUGUUUUUUAUUUUGAGACAGGGUAUUGCUUGAUUGCUGAGGCUGGCCUUACAGUCCUCCUGCCUUAGCAUCCCAAGUAGCUGGGAUUAAUGUGCAUGUGCCACUGUGCCCUGCUCUCAUUUGCCUUUUUUCUUUUUCUUCUUCUUCUUCUUUUUUUUUUUUUUUUUGUUUUAACAUAUGUGCUGUCACAGGAAGGCCAAUAUAUUCUGCUUCCUGCGAUGAGUAAACCCAGAUUUCUGUUGGGUGUGUUGUAAACAGAAAAGCCAUUCAUCAGGUCUCCUCUCCUGAGCACACCCCUCAUUUUUUAAAAAAACCAGUUAUUUAGAUGAUGAUUAAAUGACUACACAUACGAAAGCACCUCAAAUAGUCCUUGGUAGGAAAUAAAUGCGUGGUAAAUCUUUCAAAUUGAAUACUAAUACCUAGUCUGUUUACUUUGAGUAAAACUGACAUAUUUCCAGAUGAGGCCAAUAUCAGACCAAACUAUAGUGUAAUGUGAAUUGUCAGCAAUGGCUCUAGAAUCUACUUUCAAAAAUACAGUUUACUUCCUCUUAACCUACUGCUUUUACUUUGUGCAAAACAAAUGCAUAUUUUGUCUUAGACCCUAAAAACUAAAAAACAUAAAAUUAACAUCUCUUUUAUACUGAUAAAUAGUAUUUAGUAUAGAGAAGAAUGUCCUUUUAUUUAUAACCCACCUACACAUGUUUGUAUUGAUGAAAACUAGUAAUUCCUUCCUAUAAAUAUUGAGAUGUUCGGUUCUGUUUUCAGAGACAGAAGAAAAUCCGUGACGAUCAUAAAUCCUACUAUGCGAUUAAUACUGUUUAUGUAUAUGGACAAGAGAAAUACUUGUUGGUAAGAAAUUCUCAAUAUAAAAAUUUUAAUUGGUACAUUUUAAAAUGACAGAAACAAAAUGACUUUAAUGUCUGAAUGUAGAAUUUGUGUAUGAUUUCUCCCCCUCCUGGUUUGUUUCUUAGAAUAUUAAUUCCUUUGAUCUAUGUGAUUAUUACAUGAAUAUACAUAUAAGUAAAAAAAAAUCACCUGUAGAAAGUAAAACAGAAGAAAAUGAACUUACUUUUUAGUCUCCCAUUUUGACUUUUUAAAAAUUCUACUGCUAUUCACUAAAAAUUAAUAUGAAAACAGUGCUGAUGCUUGGUUGUUUACCUAUAAUCUGAAUCAAGUUUAUCUACUUAGCAGGAAGGAGUAUAGCAUAAAAAUGUAUGAAAGGAUCUGACUGAAAAGAUACCACAAAAUACAGUAAAAAGAGGUUCAAUAUAACCUUGGUCCACCAUUGAUAAGUUCUGUGACCUUGGGCAAGUGGCUUAUUCUCUCUGAGCUUGUUUCUUAAUAAGUUAGCUCCUCAAUGAAAAGUUUCUAACAAAUAAUAGACAUACUAGAAAAUUCAUUUGUCUAUUUCUUUUUGGAAAUAUUUAUUUUACCAAAUUAUCACAUUGAAUAUUACAUAUAUUUUAUUCUUUCUGAUGUUUGUCAGCUUCUUAUUAUAUCCCUUUGUCUCCUAGUCUCCUAUAAGUAUAGUUUUAGAUAUUGGGUACUUAGUUAAUAUUGUUGACUGUUAAUUUUCCUGUUUUAUUAUUAUUAUUUUUUAAUUUUUUAAAAUAUUUAUUUCUUAGUUUUUUUUUUUUUUUUUUUUAAGGUGGACACAAUAUAUUUUACAUUUAUGUGGUGCUGAGAAUCGAACCCAGUGCCUCACGCAUGCUAGGCGAGUGCGCUACCGCUUGAGCCACAUCCCCAGCCCCCUGUUUUAUUAUUAUUACACUAUUUUUGCAAAUUGUAUCUUUCAUGUCUUUGACUAUGCAUGCUAUAAUAGUGUUUUAUUUGAAUAUAUUCAGUCACAGCUUCUUUUUUCCCCCCAGUAUUAAGGAUUGAACUCAGGACCUAAGCACAUGCUGUACCAAUGAGCUACAUCCCCAGCCCAGGAUAUUUCUUCAGGAAAUAUAAUAAACAUUGAAAAGAUAAGGCAAUGCAGUACAAUCAAAUGACUUUAAUUAAAAAGUUUUUGCUUAGUGAUUUUGUUAGGAGAAAUGUUAGUGUGGUAGGAAAAAUAAUACACUUGGCAAUUAUAUCUGAGUUCAUGUUUUGGUCUGAUGACUUCUUAGGUAUGUUGUCUUUUGUAUUUGACUUAUUCUAACCUGUUUCCCUAUCUAUAGAGUGUAGACAAUAUACAGAAAAGGCUUGCCAGCAGCACAUCAGUCAGUCACUGAAUGCUAGCUUCUGUAGAUUCUUUUUUUUUUUUUUUUUUUAAUAUUUAUUUAUUUUUUUAAGAGAGAGAGAGAGAAUUUUUGUUAUUUUUUUUUUUUUUUAAUUUUCGGCGGAUACAACAUCUUUAUUUGUAUGUGGUGCUGAGGAUCGAACCCGGGUCGCACGCAUGCCAGGCAAGCAUGCUACCGCUUGAGCCACAUCUCCAGCCCUCUGUAGAUUCUUAAUCACCACCAUUUUUAAUGCACAAAAUCAGCAAAAAAAUACUUGUUUGUUUAUACUUUCUACUUCUAAAAGUGGUCUGAAAAGUUAUGAUUAACCAGGAGUUUUUUAUUAGGAUGUCCAACCAAACAAUUAUAAUACAUCAUGACUUUAUCAAAAUUGUGAUACUUGUGUUUCUCAUUAUCUUUUUCUUUUUACCAGUUGCAUGAUAUCUCAGAAUCGGAGUUUCUAACUGAGGCUGAGAUCAUUUGUGAUGUUGUAUGCCUGGUAUAUGAUGUCACUAACCCCAAAUCCUUUGAAUACUGCGCCAGGAUUUUUAAGGUUUGUAGUUCUUAUAGACUAUGAUUAAAUAUAAUUUUAUAUGGGGUUUUAAUGAAUUUCAUGAUGUUUCCUAACCAGAAAAAUGCAACAAGAUCAUUGGUGGAGCUUUUAAAAAAUAUAUACAUCUUUGCCCUAUUCCUGAAGGUUCUGGUUUUAUUCUGCAAUGGUAGAGUCCCAGCAUAUGUACUUUAAAAAUUUUCUUCCACACGUGAUUCUGAUUUGCAUUCCUGGUUAAGAACUUUUGCUUUAAUGGGGGGUUUUCUUAGCUGUUAGGAAUGCAUGUGGAGUAUGUAUUGCCAUUUACCCAAGAAUAACAGCCAGAGCAAGGGGAUAAACCAGAGGCUUGGAAAGUGUAUCAGUCACUUUGAGAUUAUCAGCAAGAUUCAGUAGGAGGAAAAAGCUACAAAUAGAAAGGUAUUUAUUCUAGUGUUAUUUUUAAUAGCCUGAAAAUAAAAUAUUCCAGAUGUCCAACACUAUUAAAAGAUGGUUUUCUAGCCGGGUGAGGUGGUGCAUGCCUGUAAUCCCAGCAGCUCAGGAGGCGAAGACAGGAGUUUGCGAGUUCAAAGCCAGCCUCAGCAAUUUAUCAAGGCGCUAAGCAAAUCAGUGAGACCUUGUCUCUAAACAAAAUACAAAAUAGGGCUGGGCAUGUGGCUCAGUGGCUGAGUGCCCCUAAGUUCAAUCCCUGGUACCAAAAGAAAAGAAAAAAAAGAUAGUUUUUUAUAUUAUGAUAAAAUAAUCUAGGAGAUUAAGCAACCAUGAAAAGUGAUAGUUCUGAAUUCUGAAAAAUAGGGGAGAUACAGUGUUACAUUUUUAAAGAGUUAUACCUAACAUGACUGCAACUAUAUAAACAUAUAUAAAUGCAAGUACUCAAGGAUUAGAGGUAAUAUAAAAAAAUGAAAAUAGUCAUUUUUAGUUUAGAGGUUAGGCGGAUUUCUCUUAUUUCAAAAUGUUUAUUGUGGUUUUUUUAAAAAAAAAUUUAGUUGUAGUGGACACAAUACCUUUUAUUUUAUUCAUUUAUUUUUAUGUGGUACAUAGGAUCGAACCCAGCACCUUGCAUGUGCUAGGCAAGUGCUCUACCACUGAGCCACAACCCUAACCCCUAUUUUUUUUUUUAAUUUAAGAAAUAUAUUUUAAAAUUAUAGUGAAUCUAAAGAGUUAGAAUUGGUUUCUUUUGUUACCUACAUUGGAAAAGUUGGGCUAAUCAUAUUUAUUAUAUCAGACUGUCCUAGGCCACUACCAAACUUUACCUCUUGGGUCAUUUUUCCUCUUUGAAACUAUUGUUUCUUUGCCUAUUAGAGAAAUUUUUUAGUUCACAUUGAAUUGAAUAGUAACUUUUGAAUUCUUCAUCAGAUUUUGAUUUCAUUUUUUUAUUUCAUAGCAACACUUUAUGGACAGCAGAAUACCCUGUUUAAUCAUAGCUGCAAAAUCAGACCUGCAUGAAGUUAAACAAGAAUAUAGUAUCUCACCUACUGAUUUCUGCAGGAAACACAAAAUGCCUCCACCUCAAGCCUUCACUUGCAAUACUGCUGAUGCACCUAGUAAGGAUAUCUUUGUUAAACUGACAACAAUGGCCAUGUACCCGUAAGUACCUGCUCUGUCUUCAUUUUCAUGUUGCAUGGUUCAUAAUAACAUUGCAUGCCAUUAUUAGCCAUGAGGGGGGAAUCUUUGUCAUAUAGAAGUUGUUCAGCAACAGAAAGAGACUUUAUAAUGAGAAGGUACAAAUUUGAGCAAAUCCAAGUUUGGUUUGGGUACCAUAGUAAAAUAAUACAAACAGUGCUUCUUACAAUGUUUGUAUAUUUUUGAGUAGGCUAUAGCUCUCUUAACAGGAUAAUUCAAUAAAGCACAGCCUCCCACCCAGCAUUAAAAAAUAGUCUUAGUGCAAUAAAAUGGGGUUAACAUCAUGUUGCUUUAUGCAUUUCCAUAUACAAAGUUCAUUUUUAUAUUUGUUGAUUAAUUGACCUUGAGUAUGUGAAGGAUUCUAAAAUCUUUUGUCAAUUUAUGUUGAACAUGUGAUUUCAAAAUAUUGUCUUCUUUAAGUGCUAUUAAAAAAAGUAUUUAUAAUUGGAAUUUCCAAUAUGUAAAUGUUUUGCAUUAAGUAUUAUGAGCCACAAAUUUCAUGUACAUUUAUUAUAUAUCUAUACAUACAUAUAUGUGCAAGCGCGUAACUGGUUAUAUUCAUAAUUUACUAACUGCCUUAAAAUUGCAUGAUUCUUAAUGGCAUUCUCCUCAAAUAGUGUGUUUGUAUAAAUUCUGUUUUGUAACAAAAUAGUUUUUCAGGCAGUGCGUUUCUCUAGUCUAUAGCUUAUGCUAUAUUUUAUUAUAUUAAUUUCUAAUUAUUUGCCUUCUUAUGAAAACUACAGUGUAAAAUAGAGUAAUAAUCAAACACUGCUACAAACUGAGGUUUUCCAGAAAGGUGUUAAUUUGUAAAGAUUUUUAAAAUCAGUUAAUUUUCCUGGUAUUCCAUUAACUCACACUUUAAAAAAUGCAACAAACCUUUACAUUUCUAUUUUAUUAGAAGACAACUUGUUCCUAUUAAUAUAAGCAAAACUUUAUUUAUGUUUUACCGUUGCUUUAAAACUCUCAUGUAUGUUAUCUACAGAGAGGAUCAUUACAGAGACAGACUCUCCCGAGACAUGGGCAACACUGAUAGAAUAGAGAAUUUGAGAAAAAUCUGGGUCUUUCUAAAAACUGCUUUGUAAGUUACUUUUUCUUUAUGACUUCUGUAGAAUUUUGUUUACAUUUUCUUAUAGGGUGACCAAAUCUCCUUUCUUGCUAUAAUUAACAUUUAGUAAUUAUCUAGAAACGCACUGCUUGGUCAGAUUUAACCUGUUUAUUAUGGUGUCGUCUUUACUAUGUAAAUGUACUUUUAAAAAUCUUGUAAAUAACUGCAACUGUGUUUUUAGAUCUGCAUCUUUAAAACAGUUUACUUUAAUUCUUGUGUGUGUGUAUAUAUGAUAAAUGUACAUACAUGGACACUUGUUUAUAUGGUUAAUCCCAAACUACUUCUCAUGAAGCAUCUCCCUGUUGCUAAGCAUACUUUGCAUCUCUCCUUUUUGGUGGGUGGAGCCUUGUAUAUGUUGAAGAAUCAGAUUCAAUUUAUAAAAUAACAGAUGGAUUCCAGUAUGACAGCUGGCAGUGACUUAGUAGCAGUGCUAUGUUCAUCAUCACAAGUCAGGUUUUAAAAAGGAAUGUCUUGAGCAUUAAUUUUCAAAAUUAAUUCUUGUUUUUCUCCAUGUUGAGAAUUAGGCAUUAUUGGGAUGCUGCUAAUCUCCACAACCAUGCUACCGUGUGCUGUGGUCUCAUCAGAUCUUACAAGCUAAGCCAAGUCAGAUUGGGCCAGUCCUUUGACUGAGAAGCCUCUAAAAAUGAUCAGGUGUUACAGGAAGUGAUGGCAUUGAAUCAUCAGGCGCUCUUCUGAAUGGGUUCUGCGCCAGUGCCUCUUCACGGGUGGUGUGAUGGUUUUGUAUGUCUGAGUGGCUCCGAUCACUGAACAGUCAUUGGAGACCCCCUUACUUUGGUAGAUAGGGCCUAGGUGAUAUGGGUUGCCCCAUGUGCCUGCACCAACUAGUGCAACUCCACUCAACCAGAAAGGAGUCAGAAAGCCUCCCUAAAUUUCAUAUCUAAUUUCAAUUGGAUCCAUUGUUGAUUUUACAUCCUUACUCAGAGUUUCAUACUAUCAUACUUAGCUGCUGUGUUUUGGUAGCAGAUGAAAUCAACCCUAUAUUUUGUUGGAAAUUUAUGAAGCACUUUGAUUUCCUUUGGGAGCCAGGGUGCUUGAUGAAUUAAAGACAAUAUUGUUCAUAUCUUCUCAGGGUUGAAUAUACUCAUCUUUUGACUCUUUUAUGUAUUUGUCACUCUUCUCCUUCCUGGUUUUCAGGCAUGUGUGUAUGCUGAGGGAGGAGGAGGGAAUGGUUAUUUAAAUGCUAGCAAACCUUGUCCUUUUGGUGGGUGCUAUGGCUUAUUCAAUUUUUAUUUUUAUUAAUUUAGAUGAAGGUGCCAUCUAUUGCUGUGCAUACUUAUUCCACUAAAACUCAUAUAAUAAUUCCACCCCCCUCCAAAAAAGCUAAAGUGUUUAGAAAAUGUUCCCUAGACUUUCUAUAGGGAGGGAGGAGGAAGCUAUUACUGCUUAUUCUGUUUCUGGUACAUGUGGAAUUCUGCACAACUUUAGUAUGGCCCACACUGUCCUUUUUCUUUCUUCAAAGAGUGUUGCUUAUGCCUAAAUCUUUUUUUUUUUUCUUUUUAGUUGGCACACCCUGACUUGUGCCAUAUUUGUAAGUAAGAACUCAACCCUGUCCUUCUGUGUGUUUUCGCAGCCAUGCCCGGUUACGCUGUAUGUGCACCUGCAACAGGUGCACAUUUUGCAUCUGUCAGAACUUCCUCAACUCAGACUUGCUGCAAUCUGUAAAGAACAAAAUCUUCACUGCAGUUCUUAACAGGUUCUUAACUUUAUUUACUGGGUACCAGGCAUUCUGUUAAAAUACAAAAAAAAAAAGUGGAUAACUAUUUAUUAUACAGAUAUUCACUACAUACGCAACAAACCAACUGACACCCAACUAACUUCCACUAAAAUUCUCACUGUGACCACAAUGUUCAGUUUUUGAAACAACCAUAAUAAUGUUUUUAAGUUAAUAGGUAUAUUUCAAGGAUAUUUUUUGUUAAUUCCUUAGGAAAGUUAAAAUACCUUUCAUAUUAGAAGAUAAUAUGUGUAGGGAGAUUAAAAUCUUUUUGCUGUAAAUCCUAGAAAUAGAUUAGGACUUUUGUAGUAAUGAAAAGAGACAUUCAUCCCAAGUAAAAGAUUAUUUUGCUGUGCUCAGCUAAUAUUCAGAUAAUGUAUCUUAGCAAAACUAUACCAAUGUGAACAAUAUUUUGGUUUGAAAAAAUUCUCUAGUCUUGAAACCAUUUAUAAUUAUAAUCUACCUUUACUUAUUUUUUAAAAAGUACUUGGAAUGCUUAUUUGAAAAGAACAUGAUUUCUGGCAGUGAGGAUAAGAACCAGCUUUAAGGACUCAAAAGUAUGGAAAAGGGAAAAAAAGAGAUGUGAAGUAUUAUUUUUCAUAUCUUAUUAUUGAGCCAAAACAUGAAAUGUUCCUAUAAAAUAAUAUGCUUUUGAAAAGAAAAAGAGAAAAAAAAGGAUGUAUACAUUCCCUUAAAGCAAUGAACUUGAAAGGUUAUAUUCUUAUUCUGAUCAUGCUGCCUUUGUUCAAAUCAGUUUUAUUUUUUCUGAGCAUUUAAGAACCUAUAUAGUAUAUAUGUAUCUGGUUGUCAAAUUUAUAUGUGACAGGAUUAGGGUUUUGAAGUUACUUAUAUAUGUCAUUGAGAACUGGGCUUGAUUACGGUGGAUGAUCAAGCUAAAUACAGAUUUUGAUUAGAAAUGGGUCAUUUUUUUCCAUUAUUGAACACUUGCUAAAUAAUAGACUCCAGCUGGACCAAAUGAUCAUGGUUUAUGUCCACCAGCAAUAUAAUAGUGGUGUCUAUGAGAUGGUUACCUAUUUCUUAUGUGAGUCAGAAACUGGUUUUGAAGGCAUUUUAAAAGCAUUUCAGUGGUUUUUUGAGCACUACCAGCCCUGGAAUAAGAAUGCAGCCAUCUCAGGGACUGCUUUGAAGGGAUUACCACAUUGAUUUGUAAAGUUCUGCCUCUGUUCUUUGAGUGACACCUGUAAAGGAGUAACCCAGAUAGAGUCCCUCAUGAUGACUAGCUGAGAAAAAUGCAAGGCUAGUUCAAACCAAACAACAUUCAGGAGCUCCACUGUUGGGAAUCCUAGUGUUGGAAGAGAUUCUGGAAUUCAUCUGGCCUAACCUCCUGGUAGCAAGCCUUCCUGAGAGAGUACUGUUUAUUUGCUUAUGGCUUUUUUCUUUGGUGAGGGUUUUUGCUUUUGCUUUUAUUUUUUAAAACUAAAAUAUUUUCCCUAUAACUUUCUCUCCUUUAGUUUUAGUUCUGCCCUUUAGAACAACAUACGACUAUUCUACUCCCUCAUCAACAUAGCAAUCCUUCAGAUAUUGAAGACGAUCAUCAUGUCUCCCCUAAUUUUCUCUUCUCCAGGUAGAACAUCCCCAUUUCUUUCAGCCUUUCUAAAAAUUAGAUGAUGUAGUGACUUCAUCAUUCUUGGUUGGUCUCAUCUGAAAGCCCCUUAAGUUCUCAGAGUACUUCUUAAGUGGUGCCACCAAGGAUGGAAAGAUAACAGUGCUCCAGAUGUGGUCUGACUAGUCCAGAACAGUGGGCAGUCAUGUUCCACACUUAAGACAACACCUGUCCAGUGCAUGAAUUAACUUUUUAGUUGCCUACUGUCGACAUAGUAUUAUCUGGGGGUUAAUCGAAAUUAAAAAAAAAUUUUGUAUGAUGUGCUGUUAAAGCAGAUGUCCCUUCCUUUCUAAUUGUGUAUUUGAUCUUUGAACUUAAAUGCAGAUACAUAUGUAUCUCUAUUAAAUGUCAUAUUCUUUUUGAUCCAUUUGUUCUAGCUCAGUCAUUUCAAACAUUAUUUCUAUCAUUUGUCCCAUUAUAUAUAUUUUGUUAUUUGCAAAUUUGGUAGAUAUGUCAUAUCUUUCAAGUUAUUAAUAAAAAAUAAUGUCAAUUACCCAGAGGUUGGAGAGAGAGAGAAGUAAAGCAGCCAAGCCCUAUCAUACUCCAAUAGGCAACUCUUGCCAAUGACAGGUUCAGAUUCUUGGGGAAGGAAUUUUCAAUUAAAAAUAUGUUAUUAUCCAGCACAUAUUUUAUCUUGUCUUAUCAGAGAUUUUGGAAAGGAUUUUUCUAAAAUCAAUGUAAUUUUUGCCUCAUACUUCUGACCCACCAAUGUAGUAAUUGUAUCUAUAUACUAAGUAUUUGAUCUCUUAUUUUUUGUGCACCUAUCUUAGCUCCCAGUAAUUGCCCAUUACAAACUACAUAUCUUAUUAUUAAUUCUAGAUUGUCCAUGAUACUAGAUUGAUUCACUGUCUCCAUUUUUGGUGAUAUUUUUUUUUCUAGGAUGGUUUAAUCAGCUUCCAAAUGAAAUGAGUUAAGAUGUGUGUUAAAUUGAUGUACUUACUCAUAAAUUACUCAUAGUAAAUCCUCAAAGAGAAAUCAGUAUAUUUUGUCAUAUCUAUUUAUAUACUGGAAAUAAUUUAAUAGUCAUGUCAGCACACAUACUGAUAUCUCUGGUAAUCAAGAAUGAGAAGGAUGAAUAGGGAAACCAGUGUACUUUUCAAAGAACUCCUUCCUUAUCCCUGUUGGUAUAUCAGUCAUUUAUUUGAUGCAAGUACAGUGGAAUUUUAGGGGUUCUAUGUUGAAGUUACUUCCAGUGUUUGGAAAAAGAUAGGUAAUUAAGGUAGGUGGGUGGGGGUCAAAAACUCAGUUCCUGGAGGAUCCAAAUGGAUAAUGGAAAGGAAUGAAGGUAGCCAAAGUGGAAGAAACAAGGAAAGGUGGGGUCUGAGGCCCUGUCUAAAAGGCAGCACUGUUCACUGGUGGCCCUUAGUUGUACAGGCCCAGUGUUGCUAGGUUUUAUGAUUCUACAAAAGAUAAGAAAUCAAGAUUUUUAUAUGAAAUUUAAUAAUAUUUAAAGAAUAGCAAUUUAAAAAAGUACUAAUCAGAACAAAACAUGUUUAUAGGCUACUAGUUUGUAAUCUUAGUAUUAAGGCCUGGAAUCAAGAAAAUGAGCAAAAAAAGGGAAAAAGGGACAGCAAAUAAAUGAGAAUCUGCCUGUUCACCUCUAUCCCGUAGUUUAUUCCUUUCCCACACAAAAGUUCUUGAAUCAUGGGGUGAGAAAAAAACCUCCUUUCCCUAUUACUUGUCAGAUAUUGGCAGCCUUUGGUGGUUGGUCACUAUUGGUUUGCCAUGCUAGAUAUAUCUAAAUUCUGAAAAAGCAGAGGAAAUAUUUAAUUAAUUAAUUAAUUAAAAGUCAUUUAAGAUAUAUUUUACUUUGUUCCUACUUAACACUAAGUCUUGUAUCUUUGUUUCUGAAAAUCAGAACUUCCAUGCUUAGUAUUUGAUUUAGAAUUUACUGUAAAAGAUUAUAAAAGUUUUUUAUUUUUAUUUAAGCCAAAAACUUCUUUAAAUGUAUGAAAAGAGCUAGGCACAGCUGGGCACACCUGUAAUCUAGG